rnacentral:rRNA from 1 species
GACGUAGGGCGCGAGCGUUGUCCGGAUUUAUUGGGCGUAAAGAGCUCGUAGGCGGCUUGUCGCGUCGACUGUGAAAUCCCGCGGCUCAACUGCGGGUCUGCAGUCGAUACGGGCAGGCUAGAGUUCGGUAGGGGAGACUGGAAUUCCUGGUGUAGCGGUGAAAUGCGCAGAUAUCAGGAGGAACACCGGUGGCGAAAGGCGGGGUCUCU